AUUGAACGCUGGCGGCAGGCCUAACACAUGCAAGUCGAACGAGUGGCGGACGGGUGAGUAAUGUCUGGGAAACUGCCCGAUGGAGGGGGAUAACUACUGGAAACGUUAGAUAAUACCGCAUACCAUCGGAUGUGCCCAGAUUGGAUUAGCUAUGAGGUGGGGUAACGGCCCACCUAGGCGACGCUCCCUAGCUGGUCUGAGAGGAUGACGAGCCAAACUGGAACUGAGACAAGGUCCAGACUCCUACGGGAGGCAGCAGUGGGGAAUAGUGCGCAAUGGGCGCAAGCCUGAUGCAGCCAUGCCGCGUGUAUGAAGAAGGCCUUCGGGUUGUAAAGUACUUUCAGCGGGGAGGCGUUACCCGCAGAAGAAGCACCGGCUAACUCCGUGCCAGCCGCCGCGGUAAUUC
rnacentral:rRNA from 1 species